rnacentral:lncRNA from 1 species
UUUCCUCAAAAUAUUUUUUCCUCAAAAAGUUUUUCUUCUAAUUUUUUUUUCAUUUCCUUAUUCGUUUUCUUUUUCCUUUUUCGAUUAUCAUCCUUAUUCGAUUUCCAUUUCCUUAUUCGAUUUUCAUUUCCUUAUUCGAUUUUCUUUUCCCUUAUUCGGUUUCUUCUUCCUUUUUCAAUAUUCAUUUCCUUUUUCGGUUUCUAUUUCCUUAUUCGGUUUCUAUUUCCUUAUUGGAUUUUCAUUUCCUUAUUCGAUUUCCAUUUCCUUAUUCAAUUUUCAUUUCCUUAUUCGGUUUCUUUUUCCUUUUUCAAUAUUCAUUUCCUUAUUCGGUUUCUAUUUCCUUAUUCAGUUUCUAUUUCCUUAUUGGAUUUUCAUUUCCUUAUUCGAUUUCCAUUUCCUUAUUCGAUUUUCAUUUCCUUAUUCGGUUUCUUUUUCCUUUUUCAAUAUUCAUUUCCUUUUUCGGUUUCUAUUUCCUUAUUCGGUUUCUAUUUCCUAAUUGGAUUUUCGUUUCCUUAUUCGAUUUCCAUUUCCUUAUUCGAUUUUCAUUUCCUAAUUCGGUUUCUUUUUCCUUUUUCAAUAUUUCAUUUCCUUUUUCGGUUUCUAGUUCCUUAUUCGGUUUCUAUUUCCUUAUUGGAUUUUCAUUUCCUUAUUCAAUUUCCAUUUCCUUAUUCGGUUUCUUUUUCC